AGAACGAAUGCUGGCGGCAGGCCUAACACAUGCAAGUCGAACGCUCUAGCAAUAGAGAGUGGCGCACGGGUGAGUAACACGUGGGAAUCUGCCCUUAGGUACGGAAUAGCUUCGGGAAACUGGAAUUAAUACCGUAUAUGGAGAAAUCUGAAAGAUUUAUCGCCUAAGGAUGAGCCCGCGUUAGAUUAGCUAGUUGGUGGGGUAAUGGCCUACCAAGGCGACGAUCUAUAGCUGGUCUGAGAGGAUGAUCAGCCACACUGGAACUGAGACACGGUCCAGACUCCUACGGGAGGCAGCAGUGGGGAAUAUUGGACAAUGGGCGCAAGCCUGAUCCAGCCAUGCCGCGUGUGUGAUGAAGGCCUUCGGGUUGUAAAGCACUUUUGGCGGGGACGAUAAGUGACGGUACCCGCAGAAUAAGCCCGGCUAACUUCGUGCCAGCAGCCGC
rnacentral:rRNA from 1 species